CAGAACGAACGCUGGCGGCGUGCCUGAGACAUGCAAGUCGUGGGAGAAAGUCGGAGCAAUCCGGCUAGUAAACCGGCGCACGGGUGAGUAACACGUGGGCAACCUGCCUUGGAGACCGGGAUAACCCGUCGAAAGACGGGCUAAUACCGGAUAAGACCCCGGGUAGUUCGCUAUCUGAGGUAAAAGGUGGCCUCUGCUCCUGCAAGCUAUUACUUCAAGAGGGGCCCGCGGCCUAUCAGCUAGUUGGUGAGGUAACGGCUCACCAAGGCUUAGACGGGUAGCUGGUCUGAGAGGAUGGUCAGCCACACUGGGACUGAGACACGGCCCAGAGUCCUACGGGAUGCAGCAGUCAGGAAUAUUGCGCAAUGGAGGAAACUCUGACGCAGCGACGCCGCGUGGGUGAUGAAGGCCUUCGGGUCGUAAAGCCCUGUCGGAGGGGAAGAAAAGCCUGCUGGCUAAUAUCCAGCGGGCCUUUGACGGUACCCUCAAAGGAAGCACCGGCUAACUCCGUGCCAGCAGCCGCGGUAA
rnacentral:rRNA from 1 species